UUCGUAGGUGGCUUGCUAAGUCAGACGUGAAAUCCCUCAGCUUAACUGGGGAACUGCGUCUGAUACUGGCGAGCUCGAGUGCAGGAGAGGAACGCAGAAUUCCAGGUGUAGCGGUGAAAUGCGUAGAUAUCUGGAGGAAUACCGGUGGCGAAGGCGGCGUUCUGGACUGCAACUGACACUGAUGAACGAAAGCCAGGGGAGCAAACG
rnacentral:rRNA from 1 species